rnacentral:rRNA from 1 species
AGUGAACGCUGGCGGCAGGCCUAACACAUGCAAGUCGAACGGCAGCACCGUAAGAGCUUGCUCUUACGGGUGGCGAGUGGCGGACGGGUGAGGAAUACAUCGGAAUCUACUUUUUCGUGGGGGAUAACGUAGGGAAACUUACGCUAAUACCGCAUACGACCUACGGGUGAAAGCAGGGGAUCUUCGGACCUUGCGCGAUUGAAUGAGCCGAUGUCGGAUUAGCUAGUUGGCGGGGUAAAGGCCCACCAAGGCGACGAUCCGUAGCUGGCCUGAGAGGAUGGUCAGCCACACUGGAACUGAGACACGGUCCAGACUCCGACGGGAGGCAGCAGUGGGGAAUAUUGGGCAAUGGGCGCAAGCCUGAUCCAGCCCUACCGCGUGGGUGAAGAAGGCCUCCGGGUUGUAAAGCCCUUUUGUUGGGAAAGAAAAGCAGCAGGUUAAUACCCCACUGUUCUGACGGUACCCAAAGAAUAAGCACCGGCUAACUUCGUG